GGGCCCGUAGUAUAGCUUGGAUAGAAUGCAAGCUUGCGGAGCUUGAGACCGGGGUUCGAAUCCCCGCGGGCCCG
rnacentral:tRNA from 4 species